UAGAAUACAGUGUUAGCAAUGGUGUCU
rnacentral:piRNA from 1 species